rnacentral:rRNA from 1 species
AUUGAACGCUGGCGGCAUGCCUUACACAUGCAAGUCGAACGGCAGCACGGGGGCAACCCUGGUGGCGAGUGGCGAACGGGUGAGUAAUGCAUCGGAACGUGCCCAGUAGUGGGGGAUAACUAGUCGAAAGAUUAGCUAAUACCGCAUACGACCUAUGGGUGAAAGCGGGGGAUGCAGCACUUAAUGUUUUGGGAUGGCUACUUGUGGCCGCCUCGGGACAGCUCAGGUUGAGAACAUUAAGUGCUGCACCUCGCGCUAUCGGAGCGGCCGAUGUCUGAUUAGCUAGUUGGCGGGUAAAAGCCCACCAAGGCGACGAUCAGUAGCUGGUCUGAGAGGACGACCAGCCACACUGGGACUGAGAC